AUGACACAGGAGACACAGGGAGGUGACAGAUGACACAGGUGACACACAGGUGACAAUGACACUCACUGAACAGGACAGCGAUCCCCAGCAAGCACAGGUGACAGUGACACACAGGUGACACACAGGUGACAAUGACAAUGACACACAGGUGACAAUGACAGUGACAGUGUCACUCACUGAAGAGCACGGCGAUCCCCAGCACACACAGGUGACAGUGACAAUGACACGCAGGUGUCACUCACUGAAGAGCACGGCGAUCCCCAGCACACACAGGUGACAAUGACAGUGACACACAGGUGACAGUGACACAGGUGACACACAGGUGACAGUGACAAUGACACGCAGGUGUCACUCACUGAAGAGCACGGCGAUCCCCAGCACACACAGGUGACAGUGACAGUGACACACAGGUGACAGUGACACAGGUGACACACAGGUGACA